rnacentral:rRNA from 1 species
GACGAACGCUGGCGGCGUGCUUAACACAUGCAAGUCGAACGGAAAGGCCCUGCUUUUGUGGGGUGCUCGAGUGGCGAACGGGCGAGUAACACGUGAGUAACCUGCCCUUGACUUUGGGAUAACUUCAGGAAACUGGGGCUAAUACCGGAUAGGAGCUCCUGCUGCAUGGUGGGGGUUGGAAAGUUUCGGCGGUUGGGGAUGGACUCGCGGCUUAUCAGCUUGUUGGUGGGGUAGUGGCUUACCAAGGCUUUGACGGGUAACCGGCCUGAGAGGGUGACCGGCCACAUUGGGACUGAGAUACGGCCCAGACGCCUACGGGAGGCAGCAGUGGGGAAUAUUGCACAAUGGGCGGAAGCCUGAUGCAGCAACGCCGCGUGCGGGAUGACGGCCUUCGGGUUGUAAACCGCUUUCGCCUGUGACGAAGCGUGAGUGACGGUAAUGGGUAAAGAAGCACCGGCUAACUACGUG